GACGAACGCUGGCGGCAGGCCUAACACAUGCAAGUCGAACGAAGUCUUCGGACUUAGUGGCGGACGGGUGAGUAACACGUGGGAACGUGCCUUUAGGUUCGGAAUAACUCAGGGAAACUUGUGCUAAUACCGAAUGUGCCCUUCGGGGGAAAGAUUUAUCGCCUUUAGAGCGGCCCGCGUCUGAUUAGCUAGUUGGUGAGGUAAUGGCUCACCAAGGCUACGAUCAGUAGCUGGUCUGAGAGGAUGACCAGCCACAUUGGGACUGAGACACGGCCCAAACUCCUACGGGAGGCAGCAGUGGGGAAUCUUGCGCAAUGGGCGAAAGCCUGACGCAGCCAUGCCGCGUGGAUGAUGAAGGUCUUAGGAUUGCAAAAUCCUUUCACCGGUGAAGAUAAUGACCGUAGCCGGGGAAGAAGCCCCGGCUAACUUCGUGCCAGCAGCCGCCGUAACAC
rnacentral:rRNA from 1 species